GGUACCUAAAGAAUAAGCACCGGCUAACUACGUGCCAGCAGCCGCGGUAAUACGUAGGGUGCGAGCGUUAAUCGGAAUUACUGGGCGUAAAGCGAGCGCAGACGGUUAGUUAAGCAAGAUGUGAAAUCCCCGAGCUCAACUUGGGAACUGCGUUUUGAACUGGCUAGCUAGAGUGUGUCAGAGGGGGGUAGAAUUCCACGUGUAGCAGUGAAAUGCGUAGAGAUGUGGAGGAAUACCGAUGGCGAAGGCAGCCCCCUGGGAUAACACUGACGUUCAUGCUCGAAAGCGUGGGUAGCAAACAGGAUUAGAUACCCUGGUAGUCCACGCCCUAAACGAUGUCAAUUAGCUGUUGGGCAACUUGAUUGCUUAGUAGCGUAGCUAACGCGUGAAAUUGACCGCCUGGGGAGUACGGUCGCAAGAUUAAAACUCAAAGGAAUUGACGGGGACCCGCACAAGCGGUGGAUGAUGUGGAUUAAUUCGAUGCAACGCGAAGAACCUUACCUGGUCUUGACAUGUACGGAAUCUUUCAGAGAUGGAAGAGUGCCUUCGGGAGCCGUAACACAGGUGCUGCAUGGCUGUCGUCAGCUCGUGUCGUGAGAUGUUGGGUUAAGUCCCGCAACGAGCGCAACCCUUGUCAUUAGUUGCCAUCAUUUAGUUGGGCACUCUAAUGAGACUGCCGGUGACAAACCGGAGGAAGGUGGGGAUGACGUCAAGUCCUCAUGGCCCUUAUGACCAGGGCUUCACACGUCAUACAAUGGUCGGUACAGAGGGUAGCCAAGCCGCGAGGUGGAGCUAAUCCCAGAAAACCGAUCGUAGUCCGGAUUGCACUCUGCAACUCGAGUGCAUGAAGUCGGAAUCGCUAGUAAUCGCAGGUCAGCAUACUGCGGUGAAUACGUUCCCGGGUCUUGUACACACCGCCCGUCACACCAUGGGAGUGGGGGAUACCAGAAGUAGAUAGGGUAACCGCAAGGAGCCCGUUUACCACGGUAUGUUUCAUGACUGGGGUGAAGUCGUAACAAGGUAGCCGUAGGGGAACCUGCGGCUGGAUCACCUCCUUU
rnacentral:rRNA from 1 species